rnacentral:tRNA from 1 species
GCCUUCGUGGUGUAACGGUAGCACACUCGGCGCGUAUUCGAGAGGUCCAGGUUCAAGUCCCGGCAAGGGCA